rnacentral:rRNA from 1 species
AUCGCAAGAUGAGUGGCAGACGGGUGAGUAACGCGUGGGAAUCUACCGUGCCCUGCGGAAUAGCUCCGGGAAACUGGAAUUAAUACCGCAUACGCCCCCCUUUAAAAUAUCAGGCUAUUACAAUGCCCUGGCAUUUUAUGGGGGGGAAAGAUUUAUCGGGGUAGGAUGAGCCCGCGUUGGACUAGCUAGUUGGUGGGGUAAAGGCCUACCAAGGCGACGAUCCAUGGCUGGUCUGAGAGGAUGAUCAGCCACAUUGGGACUGAGACACGGCCCAAACUCCUACGGGAGGCAGCAGUGGGGAAUAUUGGACAAUGGGCGCAAGCCUGAUCCAGCCAUGCCGCGUGAGUGAUGAAGGCCUUAGGGUUGUAAAGCUCUUUCACCGAUGAAGAUAAUGACGGUAGUCGGAGAAGAAGCCCCGGCUAACUUCGUGCCAGCCGCCGCCGUAA